rnacentral:rRNA from 1 species
GACACAGGUAGUCAAGAUGAGAAUUCUAAGGUGAGCGAGCGAACUCUCGUUAAGGAACUCGGCAAAAUGACCCCGUAACUUCGGGAGAAGGGGUGCUCUUUAGGGUUAACGCCCAGAAGAGCCGCAGUGAAUAGGCCCAAGCGACUGUUUAUCAAAAACACAGGUCUCUGCUAAACCGUAAGGUGAUGUAUAGGGGCUGACGCCUGCCCGGUGCUGGAAGGUUAAGAGGAGUGGUUAGCUUCUGCGAAGCUACGAAUCGAAGCCCCAGUAAACGGCGGCCGUAACUAUAACGGUCCUAAGGUAGCGAAAUUCCUUGUCGGGUAAGUUCCGACCCGCACGAAAGGCGUAACGAUUUGGGCACUGUCUCAACGAGAGACUCGGUGAAAUCAUAGUACCUGUGAAGAUGCAGGUUACCCGCGACAGGACGGAAAGACCCCGUGGAGCUUUACUGUAGCCUGAUAUUGAAAUUCGGCACAGCUUGUACAGGAUAGGUAGGAGCCUUUGAAACGUGAGCGCUAGCUUACGUGGAGGCGCUGGUGGGAUACUACCCUAGCUGUGUUGGCUUUCUAACCCGCACCACUUAUCGUGGUGGGAGACAGUGUCAGGCGGGCAGUUUGACUGGGGCGGUCGCCUCCUAAAAGGUAACGGAGGCGCUCAAAGGUUCCCUCAGAAUGGUUGGAAAUCAUUCAUAGAGUGUAAAGGCAUAAGGGAGCUUGACUGCGAGACCUACAAGUCGAGCAGGGUCGAAAGACGGACUUAGUGAUCCGGUGGUUCCGCAUGGAAGGGCCAUCGCUCAACGGAUAAAAGCUACCCCGGGGAUAACAGGCUUAUCUCCCCCAAGAGUUCACAUCGACGGGGAGGUUUGGCACCUCGAUGUCGGCUCAUCGCAUCCUGGGGCUGUAGUCGGUCCCAAGGGUUGGGCUGUUCGCCCAUUAAAGCGGUACGCGAGCUGGGUUCAGAACGUCGUGAGACAGUUCGGUCCCUAUCCGUCGUGGGCGUAGGAAAUUUGAGAGGAGCUGUCCUUAGUACGAGAGGACCGGGAUGGACAUACCUCUGGUGUACCAGUUGUCGUGCCAACGGCAUAGCUGGGUAGCUAUGUGUGGACGGGAUAAGUGCUGAAAGCAUCUAAGCAUGAAGCCCCCCUCAAGAUGAGAUUUCCCAACUUCGGUUAUAAGAUCCCUCAAAGAUGAUGAGGUUAAUAGGUUCGAGGUGGAAGCAUGGUGACAUGUGGAGCUGACGAAUACUAAUCGAUCGAAGACUUAAUCAA